rnacentral:rRNA from 1 species
UACGUAGGGGGCAAGCGUUGUCCGGAUUUAUUGGGCGUAAAGAGCUCGUAGGCGGCUCAGUAAGUCGGGUGUGAAACCUCCAGGCUCAACCUGGAGACGCCACUCGAUACUGCUGUGGCUUGAGUCCGGUAGGGGAGCACGGAAUUCCUGGUGUAGCGGUGAAAUGCGCAGAUAUCAGGAGGAACACCUAUUGCGAAGGCAGCUCGCUGGGACGUUACUGACGCUGAGACGCGAAAGCGUGGGGAGCAAACAGG